UAGGGAAUCUUCCGCAAUGGGCGAAAGCCUGACGGAGCAACGCCGCGUGAGUGAUGAAGGUCUUCGGAUCGUAAAACUCUGUUAUUAGGGAAGAACAAAUGUGUAAGUAACUAUGCACGUCUUGACGGUACCUAAUCAGAAAGCCACGGCUAACUACGUGCCAGCAGCCGCGGUAAUACGUAGGUGGCAAUCGUUAUCCGGAAUUAUUGGGCGUAAAGCGCGCGUAGGCGGUGUUUUAAGUCUGAUGUGAGAGCCCACGGCUCAACCGUGGAGGGUCAUUGGGAACGGGAAUACUUAAGUGCAGAAGAGGAAAGUGGAAUUCCAUGUGUAGCGGUGAAAUGCGCAGAGAUAUGGAGGAACUCCAGUGGCGAAGGCGGCUUUCUGGUCUGUAAAUGACGCUGAUGUGCGAAAGCGUGGGGAUCAAACAGG
rnacentral:rRNA from 1 species